ACCUAUGCACCAGAAAUUCCAGUAUAUCAGCAUAGUCUUUCGCUGUGUACACACCCAACCGCUGUGCUACUGCUGAGAAGUGCUCGAACAGGUUGUUGUCGCUCCCAUCAUACAUCAGGUGUGCAGGCAUUGAUAUUUUCUUCUUCAUCAUAUCCGCAAAGGCGAGCACUGUGCCAUCAGGGUCGAUCUCAAAAAGCUUCUCCACGAUCUUGGUGUAAGCGGUCUCGUGGCGCUUCUCGUCAGAGGCGAUUAUUCCACAUAUCUGAGCUAGUUUCAGGUCCCCAAGCUCCUUGGCGAGCCUGGCAGUGUUUCCAUGGGAAAUGAAGGUUGCUCGCUCCUGGAACGCUGUGUAGAUGAAACCGAGAUACGGAUUGUUCUCUGUCCUAGGAUCCAUUCCUGAGCCAAUCAGAUAUUGGAUCGUCUUCUCAAUUUGUUUCAUAUCCACUCUUCCGCAAAGGUAGAGAUAUUUAUUGAGAAGGUCUCCAUGUCGGUUUUCUUCGGCAGUCCAAGCUCUCGUCCAGAUGGCCCAAGAAGUAAGGCUCGCGCCAGUUUCAUCUCGAACGCCAUCAAGGGUGUUAAGCAUUGUCUGAUACGUCGGGAGAGCUUCUUCGGUAACCAUGUCACCGACCAAGCACACAAAAUAGUCAUCAGAAAGCUCCUUUGAUCGAGCUCGCAGUUCCUUUACUUCUUCAUAAAAUCCCUCCGAGGAAGGAUCUGGUAGAAAAUCCUGUGGCUGCCAGCACUUCUCAACAGGUUUUAAAUGUACCAGGAUGUUGUUUUCGGCCCAACCAUCCAACGACUUGAAGAUCUCUAUCUUCUGAGGUGGCAUAGAGUGUAAGACUUGAACGUGUGUCUCGCGUGGAGAGAAGGGCUUCUUUGGAGUUUCAAUGUUGGUGGCGGCGGCGCGGACGGUGGAGGCCCUAGAGACCACCAUAAGCGGCCUAGCGAGUCUCCUCCUGCUCCCCGUGGAUGGGGGAAAGCAGGGGGAGGCGUUGGAUUGGAAUGCCAUUCUUGAAGCCAUCGCCGGCGAGGAGAGAUAGAGGAGAGAGAAAGGGGGCGAGGAGAGAUAAAGGGGAAGGGGAGAGCUAAGGGGCGGAGGGAACGAUAGCGGAUCUAGAGGAGA
rnacentral:misc_RNA from 1 species